UUCAGUAUGGUUAUACCAGGUUGGGGUAUUUCAGUAUGGUUAUACCAGGUUGGGGUAUUUCAGUAUGGUUAUACCAGGUUGGGGUACUAGUGGAUUGAAAAAUAAACUGAGGAGGCUUGUGUGUUCUCGGCCGAUAUCUGUUCAGGACAAAAUCAGGUCUAACAUUAAAAUGUUAUUGUCAUUAA